rnacentral:rRNA from 1 species
GGGUUGUGAGGUUAAGCGACUAAGCGUACACGGUGGAUGCCCUGGCAGUCAGAGGCGAUGAAGGGCGUACUAAUCUGCGAUAAGCGCCGGUAAGGUGAUAUGAACCGUUAUAACCGGCGAUACCCGAAUGGGGAAACCCAGUGUGAUUCGUCACACUAUCAUUAACUGAAUCCAUAGGUUAAUGAGGCGAACCGGGGAACUGAAACAUCUAAGUACCCCGAGGAAAAGAAAUCAACCGAGAUUCCCCCAGUAGCGGCGAGCGAACGGGGAGGAGCCCAGAGCCUGAAUCAGCAUGUGUGUUAGUGGAAGCGUCUGGAAAGGCGCGCGAUACAGGGUGACAGCCCCGUACACAAAAGCGCAUGUGCUGUGAGCUCGAUGAGUAGGGCGGGACACGUGGUAUCCUGUCUGAAUAUGGGGGGACCAUCCUCCAAGGCUAAAUACUCCUGACUGACCGAUAGUGAACCAGUACCGUGAGGGAAAGGCGAAAAGAACCCCGGCGAGGGGAGUGAAAAAGAACCUGAAACCGUGUACGUACAAGCAGUGGGAGCACAGGUUUACCUGUGUGACUGCGUACCUUUUGUAUAAUGGGUCAGCGACUUAUAUUCUGUAGCAAGGUUAACCGAAUAGGGGAGCCGGAGGGAAACCGAGUCUUAAUUGGGCGUUAAGUUGCAGGGUAUAGACCCGAAACCCGGUGAUCUAGCCAUGGGCAGGUUGAAGGUUGGGUAACACUAACUGGAGGACCGAACCGACUAAUGUUGAAAAAUUAGCGGAUGACCUGUGGCUGGGGGUGAAAGGCCAAUCAAACCGGGAGAUAGCUGGUUCUCCCCGAAAGCUAUUUAGGUAGCGCCUCGUGAAUUCAUCUCCGGGGGUAGAGCACUGUUUCGGCUAGGGGGCCAUCCCGGCUUACCAACCCGAUGCAAACUGCGAAUACCGGAGAAUGUUAUCACGGGAGACACACGGCGGGUGCUAACGUCCGUCGUGAAGAGGGAAACAACCCAGACCGCCAGCUAAGGUCCCAAAGUCAUGGUUAAGUGGGAAACGAUGUGGGAAGGCCCAGACAGCCAGGAUGUUGGCUUAGAAGCAGCCAUCAUUUAAAGAAAGCGUAAUAGCUCACUGGUCGAGUCGGCCUGCGCGGAAGAUGUAACGGGGCUAAACCAUGCACCGAAGCUGCGGCAGCGACGCUUAUGCGUUGUUGGGUAGGGGAGCGUUCUGUAAGCCUGCGAAGGUGGCCUGUGAGGGUUGCUGGAGGUAUCAGAAGUGCGAAUGCUGACAUAAGUAACGAUAAAGCGGGUGAAAAGCCCGCUCGCCGGAAGACCAAGGGUUCCUGUCCAACGUUAAUCGGGGCAGGGUGAGUCGACCCCUAAGGCGAGGCCGAAAGGCGUAGUCGAUGGGAAACGGGUUAAUAUUCCCGUACUUGGUGUUACUGCGAAGGGGGGACGGAGAAGGCUAUGUUGGCCGGGCGACGGUUGUCCCGGUUUAAGCGUGUAGGUGUGUGUUCCAGGUAAAUCCGGUUCACUUUAACACUGAGGCGUGACGACGAGGCACUACGGUGCUGAAGCAACAAAUGCCCUGCUUCCAGGAAAAGCCUCUAAGCAUCAGGUAACAUCAAAUCGUACCCCAAACCGACACAGGUGGUCAGGUAGAGAAUACCAAGGCGCUUGAGAGAACUCGGGUGAAGGAACUAGGCAAAAUGGUGCCGUAACUUCGGGAGAAGGCACGCUGACACGUAGGUGAAGUGAUUUACUCAUGGAGCUGAAGUCAGUCGAAGAUACCAGCUGGCUGCAACUGUUUAUUAAAAACACAGCACUGUGCAAACACGAAAGUGGACGUAUACGGUGUGACGCCUGCCCGGUGCCGGAAGGUUAAUUGAUGGGGUCAGCGCAAGCGAAGCUCCUGAUCGAAGCCCCGGUAAACGGCGGCCGUAACUAUAACGGUCCUAAGGUAGCGAAAUUCCUUGUCGGGUAAGUUCCGACCUGCACGAAUGGCGUAAUGAUGGCCAGGCUGUCUCCACCCGAGACUCAGUGAAAUUGAACUCGCUGUGAAGAUGCAGUGUACCCGCGGCAAGACGGAAAGACCCCGUGAACCUUUACUAUAGCUUGACACUGAACAUUGAGCCUUGAUGUGUAGGAUAGGUGGGAGGCUUUGAAGUGUGGACGCCAGUCUGCAUGGAGCCGACCUUGAAAUACCACCCUUUAAUGUUUGAUGUUCUAACGUGGACCCGUUACCCGGGUUGCGGACAGUGUCUGGUGGGUAGUUUGACUGGGGCGGUCUCCUCCUAAAGAGUAACGGAGGAGCACGAAGGUUGGCUAAUCCUGGUCGGACAUCAGGAGGUUAGUGCAAUGGCAUAAGCCAGCUUGACUGCGAGCGUGACGGCGCGAGCAGGUGCGAAAGCAGGUCAUAGUGAUCCGGUGGUUCUGAAUGGAAGGGCCAUCGCUCAACGGAUAAAAGGUACUCCGGGGAUAACAGGCUGAUACCGCCCAAGAGUUCAUAUCGACGGCGGUGUUUGGCACCUCGAUGUCGGCUCAUCACAUCCUGGGGCUGAAGUAGGUCCCAAGGGUAUGGCUGUUCGCCAUUUAAAGUGGUACGCGAGCUGGGUUUAGAACGUCGUGAGACAGUUCGGUCCCUAUCUGCCGUGGGCGCUGGAGAACUGAGGGGGGCUGCUCCUAGUACGAGAGGACCGGAGUGGACGCAUCACUGGUGUUCGGGUUGUCAUGCCAAUGGCACUGCCCGGUAGCUAAAUGCGGAAGAGAUAAGUGCUGAAAGCAUCUAAGCACGAAACUUGCCCCGAGAUGAGUUCUCCCUGAGACUUAAAGUCUCCUGAAGGAACGUUGAAGACGACGACGUUGAUAGGCCGGGUGUGUAAGCGCAGCGAUGCGUUGAGCUAACCGGUACUAAUGAACCGUGAGGCUUAACCUUACAACGCCGAAG